rnacentral:rRNA from 1 species
UACGAAGGGGGCUAGCGUUGCUCGGAAUUACUGGGCGUAAAGCGCACGUAGGCGGAUUGUUAAGUCGGGGGUGAAAGCCUGGAGCUCAACUCCAGAACUGCCUUUUAGACUGCAUCGCUUGAAUCCAGGAGAGGUGAGUGGAAUUCCGAGUGUAGAGGUGAAAUUCGUAGAUAUUCGGAAGAACACCAGUGGCGAAGGCGGCUCACUGGACUGGUAUUGACGCUGAGGUGCGAAAGCGUGGGGAGCAAACAGG